UUCUACUUAGAGAUUGCCUCCUGUGGGAGUUUUCAGCAAGAUCUUAUCUUUGGAAAGGGGUAGAGCGUUGUGCUGAUUUCCUGGUCCCUGUUCUCUUAGGACUCUCCAUACAUCUGCUCAGAAAAUGUGUGGAUGUGGCACAGAGGGACAUGGAUUUGUUGCAGACUGGGAGACAUGCAUUCUGUUUGCAAGCUGACAAAGUCUGUUCUACAUUCUGCUCCCAGCUACGUGACCAGGACAAGGAGAAACCUGUCAUAUCAGCACGGAGGGGAGCCUUUUCAUGAUACCGCUCAGCCCAAAUGGAUCUUUCCUCAGCUUGUCAAAGGCUAUGCCGAGAAGCAAGGGUAACUGAGGACUGAAUUCAAACAUAAAUAAAAAGG
ensembl:lncRNA